rnacentral:misc_RNA from 1 species
UCUCCGUAGGUGAACCUGCGGAGGGAUCAUUACCAGAGAUGGCGGGCCCCCGCGCCCCCGUCCCCAACCCUUUGUUGACCAAACCACUUUUGCCUCGGGGGCAGAGCGGCCUCCGCCUCCCCCGGUGGACCAUUUGACCCUGUCUCUGUACGUCGGAGUCUUCGAUAAAUAAAUGAAAACUUUUAACAACGGAUCUCUUGGUUCUG